GACGUGAACCAAUUAAGUUGAAUGCAGUUUUACGUCUGACGUCAUUACGCAAGCUUUGCCCGAGACAGAUCCACUUCUUGUACCGACCGCUUGUGCAGCCGCCAUUUCUUCUGACCAUCGACUGUCCACCGGAUUGUAAAACAGCCUGGAGCCAAGCAUCAUCAGACCAUAGAAGUGUUUCACUUCAUGUGGAGAUGCAAAGACUGCGAGAGCUUGUUUUCCAGAAGAUCUGAAUUGCUCAAGCACUACAAACUAAACCACAGGCAUUAUGGACGGGGCUAUUCAUAUCCAUGCACAUAUUUAAGUUGCGCAUGUAGAUUCAAGACCUAAAAUUUUGGCAGAGGUGGAAUUUGCAUAAUUUUGAAGAGCAUUAUUAACCCGGUGGACAUGUGGGCUGCACAUUAUGGUGGAGGACAUUGGGAUUCGAAGGGAAUGUGUUCUGAAAGGGCUCAUCACCUUUCUUGGAGAGGAUCCAGAAGACCUUAUUAAGGAAUACAGUGGCAGCUGUGGAGAUGAUGCCCAGAUGGAUCUCAAACAACUCACCCUGGCAAUGUUUGUGAUUCGGAAGAAGGGAGAGGGAUUGGAAGAAUCCCCAGAAGACAUUGGCAUUGUCAUUGAGGGAGUGGAGGUGUUGCAUGACCUGACUUCAGUUGCCUCAGCAUGUGCCCUGCUUCUGGGUUUGAUAUAUGCCCUUAACCUGGCUUAUCCGAAGCCUCUGCGCUUCACAUUUGAAGUGUUUCAAAAAAUCUUCAUGCAACUUGACCAACACAAAAUGUCUCCUAAAGUUCAGAAUUUGUUAGGAAGACUUCAGACCUCUCAGUAAAGACAAUUGUAUGUUGUGCAAAAUGACAGAUUAUUUUCUGUCUUUGUUUGAACAUGAGGGGGCUGUGUUUUGGAAGCUUAACCUCAAGGGACUGAACUUUUUGAAUUUCUUUUGGGACAUUGUGCAUAUUAAAGCCACAGCAUUAGUAGGCUGCUGUAGUAUUGUUCACAGACACUUUCACAGUGUUUUUUCAUAUUUUUUUUCAAUUUGGAUUAAGCAGUGCUUAAUGUUUACUAUUCUGUUCUGAUGUCAGUUAACUUAAGUAUCGGAGAUGGUUUAAAUGCUGCAAGCCAUGACCCCACAACCUUGUUUGAAAGCAUGUAGAUGUUAUUGCUUGUUUUCAGUUUGUUCUUGAAGAUGUUAAAAACAGACACACAUGUUCUUACAUUUUAUGUAAAAACAGUUUAGGGAUUGAGAAUGUUGAUUUCCUUUAUUUUAGGAGGACUUGUGGUAAAUCUGAAAAACAUUGUUUUUCAGAGGAAUACAUCUGGAUUCUACAAGCUCACACAGGGAUGUCCAAAGUUUGUCCUGGAGAGCCAUCAAUGUGCAAAUGUCAGAUGGACUAUUUCAAUACCACCUUGCUGAAUUUACACACCAGCAGACACUCAGCUGAGCAGAGGCAUAGUAAUGAGCACUUAAUUUUAUUUGGAGAUUGGAUUCAUCUGAAAGUUGGAGGAUGGUAGCUCUCCAGAACUGGACUUGGGGUACCCCAUGUUCAGUUUACUAAAAAGCUAACUCAAUUAAGCAGACAAGCAAAAGAUCUGUGUAGUAUGUUCAGUGCAAAAUGUGUUGUGAAAAAUC